rnacentral:sRNA from 12 species
CACGGUCAAAUGUAGUAACAGAAGGCGAACGGCUUUUCAGGUGAAAGACGACCGAUGUAAAAGGAGUUGUACUUCCUUGGGUUUCAAUCCCUAAAACUGCCCUUUGAUGCCCUUACACGGACGCUUCUUGCAUGGUGGGUGAAUGUGUCAUAGCCCAUUUCAUGUGUAAGGACAAAGCAGAUUAGAUGGCACCCUACAACGCAUUUGUACGAGGGGCGAAUACUUUUAUUAUGACAA